rnacentral:rRNA from 1 species
AUUGAACGCUGGCGGCAUGCCUUACACAUGCAAGUCGAACGGCAGCACGGGUGCUUGCACCUGGUGGCGAGUGGCGAACGGGUGAGUAAUACAUCGGAACAUGUCCUGUAGUGGGGGAUAGCCCGGCGAAAGCCGGAUUAAUACCGCAUACGAUCUACGGAUGAAAGCGGGGGACCUUCUGGCCUCGCGCUAUAGGGUUGGCCGAUGGCUGAUUAGCUAGUUGGUGGGGUAAAGGCCUACCAAGGCGACGAUCAGUAGCUGGUCUGAGAGGACGACCAGCCACACUGGGACUGGGACACGGCCCAGACUCCUACGGGAGGCAGCAGUGGGGAAUUUUGGACAAUGGGCGAAAGCCUGAUCCAGCAAUGCCGCGUGUGUGAAGAAGGCCUUCGGGUUGUAAAGCACUUUUGUCCGGAAAGAAAUCCUUGGCCCUAAUACGGUCGGGGGAUGACGGUACCGGAAGAAUAAGCACCGGCUAACUACGUG